UUUAAUCUCAAGCCUUUAUUAUUUAUUGCUGUGUGAUUUCACAGCUUCCCCUGAUGUCAGAACGCAAGCCCAGAUGAUGCCUGUGUGAUGGGGCUUCCCUAGAAACGAAGGGAUUUAUUUUAAUUGAUUGCCUUUUAAUCAGAAAGUUGUGUGAGGCAUGAAGCCCUGUCCUUGGGCAUCUCCUGUUUCUUGAAAUGAAUGUUCAGGGUGACCCUGGCUCAAGAAAUUGCAAACCGUGGCCACUAAAAGGCCAGAGAGCGCCCUUCAGUGGGGAUUCCCCAAUUCCACGUGUAACUCGACCCAAACUCUGCAGCAUCUGCAGGUCAGACAUGGCCCCACGCAAUCCAGGACCCUCACAGCUCAGCUCCCCCGUGUCCACUGGAAUGACCCCCCUCAGUCCAUCAGCUUGGACGAC
rnacentral:lncRNA from 1 species